rnacentral:pre_miRNA from 1 species
UAUGUACUCCCUCCGUUCCAAAAUACUUGACUUCCAUUUGUCCAAAAAUGGAUGUGCCUAUAUACUAAAACAUGUCUAGAUACAUAUAUAUUUUGACAAAUAGAAGGCAUGUAUUGUGCAACGGAGGGAGNAAAUA